rnacentral:rRNA from 1 species
ACAGGCGUACGGGUGCGUAACACGUAUGCAACCUACCCGUCAUUGGGGGACAACGUUUCGAAAGAGGCGCUAAUACCGCAUAAGAUAGUAGAGUGGCAUCACUUAGCUAUUAAAGAUUUAUUGAUGACGGAUGGGCAUGCGUUAGAUUAGGUAGUUGGUAAGGUAACGGCUUACCAAGCCUACGAUCUAUAGGGGCUCUGAGAGGAGAAUCCCCCACACUGGCACUGAGAUACGGGCCAGACUCCUACGGGAGGCAGCAGUAGGGAAUAUUGGGCAAUGGGCGAAAGCCUGACCCAGCCAUGCCGCGUGCAGGAAGAAUGCCCUCUGGGUUGUAAACUGCUUUUUUAAGGGAAGAAAAAGUUUCUUGCGAGAAACCUUGACGGUACUUUAAGAAUAAGCCACGGCUAACUACGUGCCAGCAGCCGCGGUAAUACGUAGGUGGCGAGCGUUAUCCGGAUUUAUUGGGUUUAAAGGGUGCGUAGGCGGGUAUUUAAGUCGGUGGUGAAAGGUAGCAGCCUAACUGUUUUACAUGCUGCCGAUACUGAAUAUCUUGAGUUAUGAGAAGGCAGAUAGAAUUUCUGGUGUAGCGGUGAAAUGCUUAGAUACCAGGAGGAAUACCGAUUGCGAAGGCAGUCUGCUGCAAAUAUACUGACGCUGAGGCACGAAAGUAUGGGGAUCAAACAGGAUUAGAUACCCUGGU